AGUGAACGCUGGCGGUAGGCCUAACACAUGCAAGUCGAACGGCAGCACAGUAAGAGCUUGCUCUUACGGGUGGCGAGUGGCGGACGGGUGAGGAAUACAUCGGAAUCUACUUUUUCGUGGGGGAUAACGUAGGGAAACUUACGCUAAUACCGCAUACGACCUACGGGUGAAAGCAGGGGAUCUUCGGACCUUGCGCGAUUGAAUGAGCCGAUGUCGGCUUAGCUAGUUGGCGGGGUAAAGGCCCACCAAGGCGACGAUCCGUACCUGGUCUGAGAGGAUGAUCAGCCACACUGGAAGUGAGACACGGUCCAGACUCCUACGGGAGGCAGCAGUGGGGAAUAUUGGACAAUGGGCGCAAGCCUGAUCCAGCCAUACCGCGUGGGUGAAGAAGGCCUUCGGGUUGUAAAGCCCUUUUGUUGGGAAAGAAAAGCAGCAGGUUAAUACCCCGCUGUUCUGACGGUACCCAAAGAAUAAGCACCGGCUAACUUCGUG
rnacentral:rRNA from 1 species